AUGACUGGCCAAACGUACCAGGCACAGCAAAAUGCUUUCGUUUUGAGCCCUGCUGAUGGAUAAGUGGACAGUGUGUCACAGUCAGCGAGGGCAAAAUCUGGUGGAGGUAGUUAGGGCAGAGGGACAGAGAUGGUGCUUGAGGUUAAGAUUUCAUGCCUGCUGGUGGGCCGGCUUCCGGAAUCCUAAAACAUCAACUGUCAGCUCCAAAGCAAACACUGCCGACUGCAAGGCGGAAAGGAAAAAGGAAACAGAGAACAAAUCCAGAGUUCAGCACUCUAAGAAAACCUCUAGCUGAGCAAUACACUGUAACAUGAGUCAGGGACUCAUUCCUCUAGUUAUUUCUCUGGCAUUCUGAGAGAUUUACAAGAGCAAACAGAAAAAGAAAAAAGAUCCACAUCAGCUGAUGUGACGGUUUGUAAUUUUCUGAACAAAGGAACCUUUUACUGUGUUGCAUCCAUUCUAUUAUGUUGGGCACCAUGAACUGUUGUGGCAUUUACAUGAGAAAUGGGACUGGUGGUGAGAAUGGCUUCCAUCUCACAGCUAGCUGUCUCUCUAAUCCAAUCUAGUGCAGAGGUGUUGGCAUUGCAGUACCAAUGCUGCAGCAGCAGGGGACUGCUUUGUGUGUAGAGCAAGGGGUUUAUAAUUUUGAGACCCCCAAACAACGGAGAGGUCA